GGGUAGCGACUGUUUAACAAAAACAUAAGACUUUGCUAAAUAGAAAUAUGAGGUAUAAAGUCUGACAUCUGCCCGGUGUUGCCAGGUUAAAAAAAAAAACGAAAGUUUUUUUAUAAUCCCCAAUAAACGGCGGCCGUAAUCCUAACGGUCCUAAGGUAGCAAAAUCCCUUGACGGGUAAGUUCCGUCCUGCACGAAUGGUAACGACUGCCCUACUGUCUCUAGUAUUGGUUUUAUGAAAUUGAAUUAGACGUGAAGAUGCGUUAAUGUACAGCUAGACGGAGAGACCCCUAUGCACCUUUACUGUUAUUUUAAUAUAAAUAUUGUAAAACUUAAUAUAGAUAUGUAGUAAAAGUUUAAUCCUGGAAAACUACUUUGUAGUUUUUAUUUUGUUAGUAAUAAUUUAUGUAUUAUUUAA
rnacentral:rRNA from 1 species